GAAGAGAGCGACAGACAGAUUUGUGAUAACCGCAUGGGAACAAUGCGGUCCCAUGAAAUAACAACACAGUGAUUACUGUGCUGUGCCUGUUACAUUAUCGAGGUUCAAAUCCCUCUGGCUCACUCCGUCAAGGGGAUGUGUUGUACGAGGAUGUCGUGUUCCAGAGGCUGUGAACGAGGACAAACAAGCCCGGGCACGCUGCGACAAACACAACCUGACAUGAGUGUUGAUAUGUGGUCAGAAAGAAUGUGCUGUUAAAUGCAUACAUCAGACUCAGCGGGGGACAGGUCGUGUCGAGUUGGUGCUUGAUUCAUUUCACUAGUCUUAACAAUGGAUUUGUCCUGAAAUGUCCCUGUCCUGUUGUUACACCAUCAAAGAGACUGGUGUCAUGUCACCUGUACACACUGGGAGCUCUAUAUCAAUUCAAUUUUAAAGUGAGUGUGUGUCUGUUUGUGUGAGUGUGCGUGUGUGUCUGCAUGUCUGUCCUACCUGUACUCCUGUUGUGAGAAACAAUCAAGUAGGUCUGCAGGCGUCAAUCUGGAGUCCACAUUAACGACCUGAAACACAAUGCAUUGCACAGAUCAAGGUGCCAACCUUGUGGAAGUGGAUGAUGCUGAGCAGUGUCUGGACUUUCUCCAAACUCGGGGCCGAGGAAAACAAACUGAAGAACAAAAAACGCAUUUUAUAAAUAUUCUCACUUUCAGGUGAAG